UUAGUUGUCUCUUAAUUAUAUAUACAAACUACUGUAAUACAUAUCAUCUUUAUCAAAAGUCUCGAGCUUAGCCACCAACAUAAAGUUUUGACAAGAACUCUUCUACCGUAUUUUUUCCUGUCUAUCAAUCUUAUAGAAAGGGGGGACAUGUUCAAACGAGGAAUCAGAUUUAUCGUCAUGCAUGGCAGAAUUAUCUGGAAAGAAGUGUACACAAGAAUCAUAAAUCGCAUACUCAUCACCGCAUAUGCAAUGCUAAUUUGUAUGAGUUAUUAUAGAUAUGGUUUCUCUCUCGACAUGUUAGAUGGUACAAUUAGCUUCAUCAUGCUUAUCCUCACUACAACUUUAAUCCAAACCUUGUUCAUAUUGUCUAAUCAACCGUUGAUACGUGUAACCGCAGCUGGACAUAUCACAUUUUUGGUUGGAUUUCUUAUACUCACCCCUUUCGUGAUCCGAUCCAAUAAUAAUAAUGUGUUUUUGGUA